rnacentral:rRNA from 1 species
GACAUAGGUGGCGAACGUUAUCCGGAAUUAUUGGGCGUAAAGGGUGCGUAGGCGGCGCGGUAAGUCGGGUGUGAAAUCUCGGAGCUUAACUCCGAAACUGCAUUCGAUACUGCCGUGCUUGAGGACUGGAGAGGAGACUGGAAUUUACGGUGUAGCGGUGAAAUGCGUAGAUAUCGUAAGGAAGACCAGUGGCGAAGGCGGGUCUCUGGACAGUUCCUGACGCUGAGGCACGAAGGUCGGGGAGCAAACGGG